GUGGUACAAAAAGCUGGUACAAUCUGAAAAAAUAAAGGUGCACAACACUAUGAUGAUGUGAUUCGAGGGUUCGACUCCCUCUCUCACCGCCA
rnacentral:tRNA from 1 species